CCUUAACAAUUGGUGACCUCCAACGUGUCUGGGGGAGAGAUCUGGAUGAGAGGUCCCCGAGACGGGGACCCCGGCAAGCCGGCAGGAGCAGGAUAGCGGUGGUUGACUGACACUCACUCAGGCCCAUCUUAAAAAAGGAUCACUUCAGUGCAUAAACAAGGAGGAAAUAAAGGAACAAUAUCCAUCACAAGCAGAGUAUAUUGAAGAA